rnacentral:lncRNA from 1 species
UGAAUUAUAUUUUUAUUUUGUAGCUUAUAGAUUUUAAGCCACAGAUUAGUUUCAAGAUCAUAAAAGAACUUGAUAUAUUUUCUUCUAGUACAUUUCUGAUUCAUUGGCAUUUCUCCUGGUAUGUGGUAUGAAGACAAUUUGAUUUUUUCCCCAGAUGACUCAGCUUCAUUUAUUUAAAAGUUUAUCUUCCUGCCAAAGACUUGAGAUUUUAUCUUUAUUGUACAUCAAAUUUGCACGUGUUUAGAUCUAUUUUUGUACUUCCUGUUCUGUUCUAUUGAUCUGACCACAUCAUACUAUAUCACUGCUUUAAUUAUUGGGGCUUUAGUGGAAGUUUUAAUUUCUGGUCUACUAUAAUUCUCUGAUUUCAGAGUUUUUAUGUCUACCUACCAUACUUUGAAUACUUGUGGGAAUAUUUUGUACUUAUAAAAUAAAAAAAAAUAAGCUUAGAGAAUUUCUUAUUUUGUGGUUAUUUAAAUUCAUAUAGUUUUCCAUUUAUUCCCUAAGUACUCACUGAGCACCUACUGUAUGCUUAGCACAUUUGUGUGGAUUUGAGAACAUCAGCAAAGAGAAAAAAACUUCGGCUUUCUUGUACCUUUGUAGUCACACACAUUCAUCCUUAGUCUUUCAAGAUAAAGUUCUAUGUGAUUUAGUCUUCACAUCAUCUGAGAUUGCAUUGGUACAGAGCAUCAUUUUUGCCUUCUCAAUAUUUUGUAAGGAAAAAAAAAUCUCCAAAACUCUGUGUAACAAUAUUUAUAAUAAAUUAUCUUGCAACCAGAAUAGUCAAGAAUAUGCAGAGUAGGAAGAAAUAAGAGUAUGCAGAAGAAAAGCAUUAUACCCAAGCAAUUUCUUGGUUUUCCAUGUACAUUCUUUGAAAUUAAGUGUCUAUUUAGGAUCAUCAAUUUCCAGUACUGUGACUACAGGGCAUUUAAGCAGUUGACAAAACCAAGAAAUGAUUGUUCCUGCACUAUGUUAAGUUUCAAAAUGUUGACUUUAGACUGCUAAUAGCAAUAAAACUAUAUUUUUUUGGUUAAAAUUUAAGAUUUAUAUCAAUUCCCACAAGAUAAGAUGGGAUAUUCAGUAUCAACCUCAUCUAUGGCUGAAUAUUAACUGCCUAACAUUUGCAUGCAUCAGCAAAUUGGUUCUCAAGUUUUGCAUCUGCCUACAAUCAUCUGAAAGGCUUGCUAAACCAUAGAUUGCUGGGUUCUACCCUAGGACUGAUGGUUGAGAAAGUUGGGAAUGGGGUACAAGAAUUUCCAUCUUUAAGGGGUACAGGAGGUUGAUCAGGAGCACUUGACCACUGAGCCACUAUUUUGUAUUUUAUUAAAAAACAGGGUAUCACUGAGUUGCUUAGGACCUUGCUUUCUUUUUGCUGAGGCUGGCUUUUGACUCGCGAUCUUCCUUUGUCUAAGCCUCCUGAUCUGCUGGGAUUACAGGUAAGUACCACCACAAUGGGCUAAAGAAUUUCCAUUACUGACAUGUUCUAAGAUGAUAUUAAUAUUGCUGAUGUGGGUUCACUCUUUGAGGACCAUUGAUAUAUACUAUAAAAAUGAUUUAGCAUUUUACUUCUUCACUUUUAUUUUAUUGGAAGCAGAUACAAUUCAAUUUCAGGUUAGUAUAUAGAGACUAGAAAAAAUAUGUGGCACAUUUAGCAUACUUAAUGAAAAAUGAUUGACAUAAUGCAUAAAGAGUUUUAAUAAGCAGUGUUACCACCACAGGCUCAGUUCACUUGCUACAUAACUAAAGUCAAUUAGUUGAACAAUGCAGUGGCGUUAUUAUGAAGACCUAAUUGAUGAGAAGAUGGAGGACCAUCAUCCUAAAUGGUAAGUGUUGCCAGAAAGCUGAUUUAGGGAUGGUUUCUAUAGGAGAUGGAUGAUGGCAGACUGUGGGUGGAGGUUUGUGGCUAAUUGAAGUACAAUAGAUCCUAAUAAGGUCAUGAGAUGCUUUUCAGUUCUGCAAACUUCAAGAACAAAGGUAAUUAUUUCCUUAGGUACUCUUGUCACUGAUUAAUUUGCCUAUGUUCAAUUCCUGACAUAUUAAACAAUGGACAGGCUAGAGGAGGCAGCUGCCCCAAGGCAACACUUCUCUGGAUUAUUGGGGAAGACAAGGGUCAGGUGAGUCUUAACACAGAGUUUUGCUCAAGAUCUAAUCUCCAUGAUUGGCUUCAAUAGUACUAUUUGGAUUGUAAAAACUUUUCAGAUUCUGUGUUUGUGAGCUACUUUUUCCCCCUCUGAUAGCCACCACUUAUUUUCUGGGAAACGAAAAAUUUGAAAGUUAGUGAUAACUUUAAUGUAAAAUCUGAAGCACCUAUGCAGGAUAUUUUAACUUACUUUAUUGGUCACUAGUCAAUACCAGAGAUAUUUUUAAAUUAAUAUUUUACUUAUAGAGCAAGAGAAAUAAAUUCUUAGUGUGUGGGUUUGCAUGUACUGUCAAAAAUAUCUCAGCUAAGAUUCCAGAUAGUCAUUAUCAAUUAUACCAUUGCCUUAAAUUGAGUGCAGUUCUCUAAAUUGGUACCAAUAACCACACCCUUCAAAAGGAAAAUCACACAAAUAAUAAAAGAACCCCCAAACCCUAGCAUGUAUGUGUUUAUAUGUAUAUACACGUAUAUAUAUAUACAUAUAUUUAUGUG